rnacentral:rRNA from 1 species
GACGGGGGGAGCAAGCGUUGUUCGGAUUUACUGGGCGUAAAGGGCGUCUAGGCGGGUUCGUAAGUCAUGUGUGAAACCCCCCGGCUCAACCGGGGAUCUGCACGUGAUACUGCGGAUCUUGAGUGCGGAAGAGGAAAGCGGAAUUCCAGGUGUAGCGGUGAAAUGCGUAGAUAUCUGGAAGAACACCGGUGGCGAAGGCGGCUUUCUGGUCCGUUACUGACGCUGAAGCGCGAAAGUGUGGGGAGCAAACAGGAUUAGAUACCCUGGUAGUCCACACUGUAAACGAUGGAUGCUAGGUGUCGGGGGUAUCGACUCCUCCGGUGCCGAAGCUAACGCAUUAAGCAUCCCGCCUGGGGAGUACGGUCGCAAGGCUGAA